rnacentral:rRNA from 1 species
CCGGCACGGGUGAGUAACACGUAUCCAACCUGCCGUCUACUCUUGGACAGCCUUCUGAAAGGAAGAUUAAUACAAGAUGGCAUCAUGAGUCCGCAUGAGAUUGAUAUUAAAGAAUUUCGGUUAUCGAUGGGGAUGCGUUCCAUUAGUUUGUUGGCGGGGUAACGGCCCACCAAGACUACGAUGGAUAGGGGUUCUGAGAGGAAGGUCCCCCACAUUGGAACUGAGACACGGUCCAA